CAGCCGCCACGGUAAUACGUAGGUCCCGAGCGUUGUCCGGAUUUACUGGGCGUAAAGGGCUCGCAGGCGGUUUCUUAAGUCUGAUGUGAAAGCCCCCGGCUCAGCCGGGGAGGGUCAUUGGAAACUGGGAAACUUGAGUGCAGAAGAGGAGAGUGGAAUUCCACGUGUAGCGGUGAAAUGCGUAGAGAUGUGGAGGAACACCAGUGGCGAAGGCGACUCUCUGGUCUGUAACUGACGCUGAGGAGCGAAAGCGUGGGGAGCGAACAGGAUUAGAUACCCCCGUAGUCCCUGUCUCUUAUAC
rnacentral:rRNA from 1 species